CUGGCUCAGGACGAACGCUGGCGGCGUGCCUAAUACAUUGCAGUCGAGCGGAGUUGAUGAGGUGCUUGCACCUCUGAUACUUAGCGGCGGACGGGUGAGUAACACGUGGGUAACCUGCCUGUAAGACUGGGAUAACAUUCGGAAACGAAUGCUAAUACCGGAUACGCGAUUUGGUCGCAUGACCGAAUCGGGAAAGAUGGAGCAAUCUAUCACUUACAGAUGGACCCGCGGCGCAUUAGCUAGUUGGUGAGGUAACGGCUCACCCAAGGCGACGAUGCGUAGCCGACCUGAGAGGGUGAUCGGCCACACUGGGACUGAGACACGGCCCAGACUCCUACGGGAGGCAGCAGUAGGGAAUCUUCCGCAAUGGACGAAAGUCUGACGGGAGCAACGCCGCGUGAGUGAUGAAGGUUUUCGGAUCGUAAAGCUCUGUUGCCAGGGAAGAAUGCUUGGGAGAGUAACUGCUCUCAAGGUGACGGUACCUGAGAAGAAAGCCCCGGCUAACUACGUGCCAGCAGCCGCGGUAAUACGUAGGGGGCAAGCGUUGUCCGGAAUUAUUGGGCGUAAAGCGCGCGCAGGCGGCCUUGUAAGUCUGUUGUUUAAACUUGGGGCUCAACCCCAAGUCGCAAGGGAAACUGC
rnacentral:rRNA from 1 species